UACGGAAGGCAGCAGUGGGGAAUAUUGCACAAUGGGCGCAAGCCUGAUGCAGCCAUGCCGCGUGUAUGAAGAAGGCCUUCGGGUUGUAAAGUACUUUCAGUCGUGAGGAAGGUGUUAAGGUUAAUAACCUUAGCAAUUGACGUUAGCGACAGAAGAAGCACCGGCUAACUCCGUGCCAGCAGCCGCGGUAAUACGGAGGGUGCGAGCGUUAAUCGGAAUUACUGGGCGUAAAGGGCACGCAGGCGGUUAAUUAAGUUGGAUGUGAAAUCCCCGGGCUUAACCUGGGAAUGGCAUUCAAGACUGGUUAGCUAGAGUCUUGUAGAGGGGGUAGAAUUCCGAUGUGUAGCGGUGAAAUGCGUAGAGAUGUGGAGGAAUACCGGUGGCGAAGGCGGCCCCUGGCAAAGGACUGACGCUCAUGUGCGAAAGCGUGGGGAGCGAAAC
rnacentral:rRNA from 1 species